UACGUAGGCAGCGAGCGUUGUUCGGAGUUACUGGGCGUAAAGGGUGUGUAGGCGGUUUUCUAAGUUUGGUGUGAAAUCUCCCGGCUCAACCGGGAGGGUGCGCCGAAAACUGGGAGACUAGAGUGCGGGAUGGGGGAGUAGAAUUCCUGGUGUAGCGGUGAAAUGCGUAGAUAUCAGGAGGAAUACCGGUGGUGUAGACGGCUCUCUGGACCGCCACUGACGCUGAGACACGAAAGCGUGGGUAGCAAACAGG
rnacentral:rRNA from 1 species